rnacentral:tRNA from 1 species
CGGAGGGUAGUUCAAUUGGCUAGAAUACGCGGUUUGGGACCGCGGGGUUGCAGGUUCGAGUCCUGUCUCUCCGA